UAAAUUAACCCUCAAUAUACAACAAGAGGCAAGUAAUUCUUUUGCUUUCAGAUACAGGUGAAACUAAGGCAGAAGUUGUUCAAAGCCACACAUGGUAUAGGCUUAAAUUUCUGUUGAUUCUGGCUCCCAGGACACCUGCUUGACAAUCUAGCUAUCUAGUCCAAGAUUGUUACUCAGAGGCCAGAAUGUCAACAAGCAUUUCAUGACCCUUUGUCUUCCACUGACCAGCAAACAACAUACAACAGUCAUCAUCAGACAUCAUGCAACAGCAUAGUUUCUUCAGUGCAAUCAAAGGCCAAGCACACAAAGAGCUGUCCCUCUGAGGUCCUAGGAUGGAACAACACUUCUUAAAGACAGUUCCACCAUCAAUGCAUGGUGGAAGUAACCCUCCAAGAGCUUUUGAACUGAUACUCUACUAUCAAAGUUAAUACCACCAAAGCCAUUCCACAACACCUCAUUAAGGACUACCUUACAGAUCCACCAACCUAUCAAGAGGCCUUGAAAGCCACAGAGUGGAUGAAGAACAACAAAGCGUGUGGUCUUGAUGGUAUACCAGCUGAAAUGUAUAUGCAUGGUGGAGAAAAAAGCUCCCUUACCAACUCCAAACCACUACUCUAAAAAUCUAAAAACACGAACAAAUUCCCAGUGCCUUGAGAGAUGUCAGGAUUGUAGCCAUGUUCAAGAAAGAAGAAAGAUUGGAUUGCAGCACUUUCUACGGCCUUGCAUUCCUAUCCAUAGCAGGGAAGAUUCUUGCCUACAUUCCUCAAUAGAUUCACUCCUUUCACCAAGGAGAUUUUACCUGAGUCCCAAAGUAGCUUCAAACCAUUCAGAGACAUGAUCUUUGUUGUUAGAGAGCUGCAGAAGAAGUGCCAUGAAUAAUACAUGAAUAAUAGAGACCUUCUCCUGGCCUUCACUGACCUAAGGCCUUUGAUUCAGUCAACAGAGAGGCCCUAUGGAAGAUCCUGAUGAGAUUUGGAUGCCCACCAGAAGUGUUUGGACUCAAUGUCAAUCCUCCAUAUCAACUGGAAGGACAGCAGAACAAAAGCCAGCAUUCUGGCUCAAGUAAAUACCACCAGCAUCGAAGCCAUGUUCAUACAGCACCAGCUCAGUUGGACAGGACACAGACAACCAGCUCCUGAAAUGGGUCCUGCACUCCAGCUCACUUUGGUUACCACUAUAGAGUGAUUUAUUAAGUCUUUGCUGGUCCCUUCUUCUGAGGAAGGGCAUCAUUCCACAAUGAAACCCAGUUAAUAAUGCAACAUUGCAGCAUUUGGAAAAUGAAAAUGAACUCGCACAGAUGGGGAAAGUCAAGGCAUGGAGAAUCUAUAUGGCCAAAGUCAUGCACAGCUAAAGUCAUGUACAGAGUCAUAGAAUCGAAGGACCAAAAGGGACCUGCAAGAUCAUCAAGUCCGGUCCCCUGCCAUAGGCAGGAAGUUAUUGGGCUCAAGUGAGCUCAACAAGGUGCAAGAUCAUCAAGUUUCGAAUAAAACGCAAGUAUCCCAAUUCCCACAUCAAGAAUGUAUUCACUUAGCCAUUCUGCUACUGAUAAAUCAAAAAGUAUUUUAUAUCAGA